rnacentral:rRNA from 1 species
UACGUAGGGGGCAAGCGUUAUCCGGAUUUACUGGGUGUAAAGGGAGCGUAGACGGCUUUGCAAGCCAGAUGUGAAAGCCCGGGGCUCAACCUCGGGACUGCAUUUGGAACUGUAUGGCUGGAGUGUCGGAGAGGCAGGCGGAAUUCCUAGUGUAGCGGUGAAAUGCGUAGAUAUUAGGAGGAACACCAGUGGCGAAGGCGGCCUGCUGGGCUUUUACUGACGCUGAGGCUCGAAAGUGUGGGGAGCAAACAGG